rnacentral:tRNA from 1 species
GUGGGUUUAGCUCAGUAGUAGAGCACAUGCUUAGCAUGCACGAGGUCCUGGGUUCAAUCCCCAGUACCUCCA